GGAGCUGCAGCCCUUCUCUUCUCGGAGGCCGGCUCCAGCGUCGGGAUUUGCUCGGCUCCGGCUGCGUUUCCCUGCCCGCCUCCUGCCCCCGGCCCGCCCGCCUGGGAGGGCGCGGGGAGCCGCAGCCGCGGGUGCGCCCGCCGCCCAUCACCGCGCCUCGGGGCCGGGCGCGUCGCCGAGCGCCGGGGGCCGCCGCCGGAGCAGCUCCAACUCUGAUCAGUGCAUAAAUCUACCUGCAACACAGGAUGUUGGAAAAUUACCGAGAGACAGCAACGUCCUCCCCACUGCUUGGUGAGAAAGGAAGGAUGCACCUUCAGUUCAAAUACUGGGCUUGGUGACCACCUUGCGGGAUCCUGAAUGCUGCGCCCCGUGUGCCUCCCAGCCCCUGCAGACAACUGCUAGGAGACAUUCAUGACCGUAGCAAGAACCAGCAGUGACACACAGGCACAAAGGGAGAUGAGUCGGGAGCUGCUGUGAGUGCCCCUGCUCAUGUCCUUCCUUGUGGGAUGCUCAGCGCUUGGCUGAUGUCGCAGCACACACGCAGACACGCACCCAUGCGCACCCGUGUCGGAGUGAUGCUGGGAAGAAGACUUUCAGAAGCCAACAAGACGAACAAUUAUGCCUACUGUGCAAAGAAACAAGACCCACUCCUCCACUCCACAGUCAUGUCCUGGCAAUCUAAUAAAGAGGGAGAUUAGCCCCUCUUUCCUCUCUUACGUCUCUUUAAUGCUGUCAUUUUAUUCACACUUUGCAAAGCAAAUAAACCAGCAAAUUGCUUGCUUUAAUGAGCUGAAAUUAAACUCAGGCUGCUGAUAAAAUGCUUUUUCUCCUUUCUGUUGUUGGGAAGGACUCAUCUGAUAGGCAAUGUACAGGAAAAAAGAGAAAACACACAGCAGGAGCCUUAUUGAACGUGUUUGAGUAGUUACCAUUGCUCUUCUUCAUCCCUGACACCUCCAAUUAGAUGAGAGAGGGACACAGGUGAUGAGAAGGCUAUCAGAUAUCAACCUGGCAAGGUCCGUGGAGAGUCUGUCUCUGCUCUUUGCUCACAUGGAUGGUCCCACUCCCCUAGCUAACACCCUUUGACAUAGGCUGCAGCCCACAGCCUCCCCAGGGAGGAGUGACAAGAAACCUUCCUGUGCCAGAAAAAGGCUAGUUUGACUCUGCAGAGCAAUCCAAACCACAGGUUUGCCCAGAGAGGAUAGUUAGGUCAAAAUGGGAGUUAGAGGAGACAGAAUAAGUGCCUGCUAAAGAGAGUAUGCCAAGAUGCAUCACUCCCUGCUGCCUGUGCUGUCUCAGUUUGGCAGGGCUUCCCCUGCCUGUGGGAGGUCCCCAUAAUGCACAAGCCCAUGGAAGAAGACGGGGAGAUGGUCACACCAAGGGCAGGCACUGCAGGGCAGCAGGCAAGGAAAGCACCCUCUGUGCCAUCCCAAAGGGACAACCGGGGCAAGCCAUUGCUUAUGGCUCUGCAGGCCAGGACGACACUUCUCCCACACCCUUAGAGGCCAUGUGCACCUCCACGGGAGGCAGGCUGAGGGCUGGAGACCGGGCUGGAGACCAGGCUGGUCCCUGUGGCAGAGGAAAGCAGGCACAUCUAGAGCCCAGCCUGCAGCUGGAAGGGGAGAAAGUCCCCACCUGCAGCACAAUGUGUGUGCUGGGAUUUUCAUCCUAACAAGAGGUGCUCAGGGCAUUUUCCUUGUCUCCCACAGUCCUCUGAAGCACUAUCAUUAUCUCAUGGUACCGGAGAGGAGGCUGGAGCACAGCGAGGUUAAUUGAGUUGCCCAGUGCCAGGAGGGAUGUAGCAGCAGACAGACGUCUUUCAGCAUGGCACUGCAGCCCGUGCCUCCCCACCAGCUGGGGGGAUGGUAAGGGGGGACAUUCAUAUGCAGUGCCCCAGGGAGCACAGUCCCUCUUCCCUUCCUCACUGGCUCCAAGGAUUCAGCUACACCAAAAUGGGCUGCCAGGUCCUGGCAAAGCAUCCCAGGGCAGGGACAGCACAUCCUUAUAAAUGUGCUCCUGCCAGUGCAGCAGGUACAGUUCCCCACAACAGGGUUACCUACAGUAUCAGUAUCACUGUGGUGCUAUGAGGGCUUCAGCUGGAACAGCAACGUAAAAGCAUGCUAAAGUCCAGGUUUCUACCCCCAGGAAAGAGGAGAGGUGAGAUUCAGCUGCCUUACCCUCAGCAUCUCUUCCACCAAGCUCCACUUCUAGACUAAACUUUUGAAAAUCUGGUUUUGUUGAGCUUUCUGCCAUACGUAGCUGGGCUAGGACAGCACCAUUCGCUGGGGAGGCAAAGACCUGCAAGUACCAGGCAGGGCUCGACAGAAGCAUCGCCUUAGGGCCAGAACAUCCCACCAUGUGUGACUGCACAGCUGCUGCAGGCAGUACAGUCUUCCAGAAGGGUGUAGUGCACACCCUGCCUUCUGGGGGGGCACUGAGUGUCUGCCUGUUGUUUUCCCCCACAGCCUCACCUCCCCGAGCAGCUGGUGGGGUGUCUGCUGGAGGACAAGGUGGCUGGAGAGUCUCAUGUGCAGGGAGCUGACGUGAGAGCAGAUCUUGUUAUUCAUGUAAUAGAAACCCAGCUAGACCACCAGGGAAUAGACUCAUUGUACACAAUGCAGGAAGAACAAAUAAACUGUUUUGCUGCUGAUUAUUACUGGCCUGUUUACUGAGGUAUAAACUGUGGAUGGUUAACAGCAAUCUCUGCAGUGAAACAUGGUCUGCUUCAUUGCCUGGUACUGUGGGUGGAAAAGAACAUGGUUUCUUCAGGACAGGGUGAGGGUAUGGCAUCUGCAUCUAAACACCCCUUGACAAUCAGCCUCACACAAUUUUCGGGCAUGCAGCACCAAGCACAGUCCCUUCACUGCCUGGGCACUGGGGAAUGGUUUGGAAACCAAUUUCUGGAUUUAUACUAUUUUGCAGAUCCAAUGAAAGGCAAUUUAGAUGUAAGAUGUGCCCCUGUCUCCUUCAUGGAUGCCCAAGAAACCUCCAGUUCCUACCAGCUGUGUUUUCAAGGAGUACUGGUGGUGUCUUCCCUGCCUCCUACAGUCUGCCCUGGGACAAGGGAGACAAUCAGAGCUCCUGUUCCCAACAAAAUCCCAAGAAGGAUUUUUCUAGGUAGGCCAUGAUGUUUUUUCCCCAUUUGUCGGCAACUCCAUCUCUGCUACAACACCUCACUGCAUCUGUCCUACCAGCCCAGAGAGCUGUUUUGCAGCAGAGAUGUCCAUGGAUGAUAUUUGCAACAUCUUGUGAAAAAGUAUGACCCAGGAGAUGCUGAGGCUCAUGCAGUUCCCUCCUCUCUAUGUUCGCCUUCCUGUUUCCCUGAGAAAUUACAAAAGAAGUAGAAGGGCUGUCCAUGGAUAUUUAUAUUAAGUCAAAAAUGCAGGAAAAAUAAUGGAAAAUGUAAACCAGGAAUGAGAAUUUUUCUGCGGGAAGUGAGGUUGCUGGCAGCACCAUAGGUUUGUGUCUGGUGAAGACUUCCUGGUGUUCAAACAGUUGCUUCUGGCUGUGGAGGGAAGAUCUUGUCCCAUCUUCUGCAAAUACUCUUGUUACACCACUGAAAGGUUGGAGGUUCUUCCCCACCUCUGCAUCAUUUCACCCAAGAGGGAGAGAGAGGUCUUGGAGACAAGCAGCGAGACCCAGCCCCAGACAAGGACGUCAGAUGGUGGACAGUCAUGCUAGCGUGUUUUGCAGUCAGAGAGUGCCCUGGAACUGCUGCUCAGGUUCCCAGAAACAGGAUGAGAGCUCGAUGCUGGGCUUUAUCCUAGAUGCCAGGCAGCAAUGCAGUCAGAGAGACACGGUGUCCUCAACCUGCAUCCCCUUCUGUGGGCACUGCUGCUGUGCACACCAGCACAGGAGACAGUUAGGAUUCCCCUCAGCAAAACACUGCAGCAUCAAAUCUACAUCAGAGUGAGUUGUCUAGACUUCAUCUGCUCUCAGCAGAGAGGAACAGACACUUCUGGGGCAUCACUCCUCCCCUGCUAAGGUAGACACGUAAAUAGGUCAGACAAAUGAUGCCUUGGAUGUGCGUUGGUCUCUCAUCUGCGUAUAACGUGAUGCUGGACAACAAACUCAGAGGAUGACCUCCGCAGUCAAUGACCUCCGCAGUCAAUGACCACCUUCCCUUGUGCUGCCAAGUGCCACUGGUGGCAGCACCCAAUUAAAGUUGAGGUUUAAUUGGCUCCUUGAGAGCUGGUGGCCAGAGCUAGAAGGCGAACACCUAACAUUAAGAGGGCAGUUGGAUGCAUCUCCAACGCCCCUAAGUGCUAAGUGCCUUUCUGUGGUGUUCAGUUUGUGCUUGUG